AUUUUAUGUGUUUUUUUCUCAUUUAUUCUCAUUUAUAAUUAUUUAUAUUUUAUGGUUUGUUUUUUUGAGGAUUGUACUCAAUUCUAUUCAACCCCCGCCAAAAGAUAAAUCGGGAACCGGUAAAAGAAGUUUGGUGUUGAAGUAUGGUUUUCUAAUAAUAUGGGUAAUUUGGAUAACAUGAUUAAGUGAGGGCCCCCUUUUUCUGGAAAAAAAUCGGUUAAAUAUGAAGGGAAUCACUGAAGCAUGACUGGAGCUGACCCCCUCUUAGGCAGUCAGUGGGCCCCACUUGUGAAAAUUUCUGGAUCCGCCACUACAGCCUACCUUGACACAUUAUUCUGACUUCCAGCUGACCAGUCUUUGCCCUUACUCUUUAAUGCAACAACAAUUUUUAAUUCUUUGGUUUUUUAUCCACCCCGGGAUCAAAUCCCAAGACCUUUUGCACUUGAGGAAAGCAUGAAAUGGGCUGUUAAAGAAGAUUUAUCUGUCUGUUUGUCCAUCAUCAUCUCUCAUCCACAG
rnacentral:lncRNA from 1 species